CCGGUUUCGUACAAUUCUUAUCGAUAAGUUUUGCAAGCUUUGAGGCUAGUGUGGGUGACUCACCAUUCCGUUUACUAUUCCGUUCUCGCCAAAGACUAAAUAAAGAGAUGAAAAACGUACCUCAACACAAACGAAUGUAAUCGUGGAGUCAGAUCAGCAUGGAGUAGAAGAGGUCAUGAGUAAGGGAAUUAGAGACUACCAGCUUGUCGUAAAUCGAAGACCAUGCAUUUCCCGAGUGAG